rnacentral:rRNA from 1 species
UACAGAGGGGGCAAGCGUUGUUCGGAAUUACUGGGCGUAAAGGGCGCGUAGGCGGCCUGCUAAGUCGAACGUGAAAUCCCUGGGCUCAACCCAGGAACUGCGUCCGAUACUGGUUGGCUUGAAUCCGGGAGAGGGACGUGGAAUUCCAGGUGUAGCGGUGAAAUGCGUAGAUAUCUGGAGGAACACCGGUGGCGAAGGCGACGUCCUGGACCGGCAUUGACGCUGAGACGCGAAAGCGUGGGGAGCAAACAGG